UGAAACCAGCCUUUUUGUUAUAUAAUAACCUGGGGCUGCUAUAAAUACCGCUGUGCUGAAAGCCAGAGCAUCGGUGUGGAAGGACUGAUUCUCGGUGACUUUUCCCUGAGCAAUAAGGAAUGGAAAGAAACAGUGCUAUGAAAUCGGACUGAGAUGGGACUCAGCUAAACCUGGAUUCAGCUAAACCCAGAAUUCUCCGCGGAGGGUCUGCAGCGGCCAGAGAAAAGUCCCUGGCCCCUUCACCAGAAGCAUCCAGGAUCCAGGUGGCAACAGACACGGGCACGUAGGUGGAGCUGGAAACCCUCCACGGGUGAAACAGCCCCGCUACCUGUGUGCGUGGGUGACUUGAGUGUGGUGUCGUUUUGCAGGGGUUGCGUGCCAGGCCGGCGAUGGAGAGCCUGCCAAGAUAAAUGGCCACGCUUCCUACAAAGAAAAAAAUCUCUUCUGAGUGGCCAAGCAGAAGGUAGACUUGCUCCAGGGCAGAUCUUGCUUUUGCAGAAGUGUUUUGGGGAGGAGAAAGUAAAAAUGACAGAGCGGGCUUUGUGAGAUGCUGCAGGCACCCCGUCCAAAAAUGUGGGGGCCGGGGAUGGCAUCCUGGAUCUGCUCCAAAAUGCAGCUUUACUAUUGAAAGGAAAUAUAUAUACACACACAUAUGUGGGCAUAUAUAUUAUGUGUGUCUAUGUGUAUA